UACGUAGGGGGCGAGCGUUGUCCGAAGUUACUGGGCGUAAAGAGCGCGUAGGCGGAUCCUUAAGUGAGGGGUGAAAGGUUCAGGGCUCAACCCGGACACUGCCUUUCAUACUGGGGAUCUUGAGUGGCGGGAGAGGCGAGGUGGAAUGGUCGGUGUAGCGGUGAAAUGCGUAGAUAUCGAUCGGAACACCCAUGGCGAAGGCAGCCUCGCUGGCCUGCAACGUGACGCUGGAGGCGCGAAAAGCGUGGGGAGCAAACAGG
rnacentral:rRNA from 1 species